UGCUGUUAAAAAGUGGAGCUUAACUCCAUCAUGGCAGUGGAAACUGAAAGGCUUGAGUAUGGUAGGGGCGGAGGGAAUUCCCGGUGUAGCGGUGAAAUGCGUAGAUAUCGGGAAGAACACCAGUGGCGAAGGCGCUCUGCUGGGCCAUUACUGACGCUCAUGGACGAAAGCCAGGGGAGCGAAAGGGAUUAGAUACCCCUGUAGUCCUGGCCGUAAACGAUGAACACUAGGUGUCGGGGGAAUCGACCCCUUCGGUGUCGUAGCUAACGCGUUAAGUGUUCCGCCUGGGGAGUACGCACGCAAGUGUGAAACUCAAAGGAAUUGACGGGGGCCCGCACAAGCGGUGGAGUAUGUGGUUUAAUUCGAUGCAACGCGAAGAACCUUACCAGGGUUUGACAUCCUGCGAACCUCUUAGAAAUUUGAGGGUGCCUUCGGGAAUGCAGUGACAGGUGGUGCAUGGCUGUCGUCAGCUCGUGUCGUGAGAUGUUGGGUUAAGUCCCGCAACGAGCGCAACCCACGUUUUUAGUUGCCAGCAUUAAGUUGGGCACUCUAGAAAGACCGCCGGUGAUAACCCGGAGGAAGGUGUGGAUGACGUCAAGUCAUCAUGCCCCUUACACCCUGGGCUACACACGUACUACAAUGCUACGGACAAAGGGCAGCAAACUCGCGAGAGCUAGCAAAUCCCAUAAACCGUGGCUCAGUUCAGAUCGUAGGCUGCAACUCGCCUACGUGAAGUAGGAAUCGCUAGUAAUCGCAGGUCAGCAUACUGCGGUGAAUACGUUCCCGGGCCUUGUACACACCGCCCGUCACACCAUGGAAGUUGGCCAUGCCCGAAGUCGUUACUCCAACCCUUGUGGAGGAGGACGCCGAAGGUGGGGCUAAUGACUGGGGUGAAGUCGUAACAAGGUAGCCGUANUCCCGCGGCCA
rnacentral:rRNA from 1 species